GCGAGCGUAGCGCAGUCUGGUAGCGCACCUGCCUUGGGCGCAGGGGGUCGUGAGUUCAAAUCUCACCGCUCGCA
rnacentral:tRNA from 1 species